rnacentral:rRNA from 1 species
UACGGAGGGGGUUAGCGUUGUUCGGAAUGACUGGGCGUAAAGCGCGCGUAGGCGGACCUGCAAGUCGGGGGUGAAAUCCCGGGGCUCAACCCUGGAAUGGCCUUCGAGACUGCCGGUCUGAGUUCGAGAGAGGUGGGUGGAAUUCCGAGUGUAGAGGUGAAAUAGCGUAGAUAUCUGGAGGAAUACCGGUGGCGAAGGCGGCGUUCUGGACCAUUACUGACACUGAAUCGCGAAAGCUAGGGGAGCAAACGGGG